rnacentral:lncRNA from 1 species
UAUCAAUAUCCAAAGCAAAUUGCAUGCAUGAGAUACUUCUAUGACAUACCUAGCAUAGUCACCAUGAUUAAAAAUCAACAAUCAUCUAUACGAUGACCAAGAAUCAAGGGGACUAGGGUUCCGAUGAAGGGGUUAGGGUUAGAGUUCCAGUUAAGGGAUUAGACCUGAGAGAGAAAAGAAUCAAAGGGAAGAUAGAGGUACGAUUGGAAGUGCAGAUAUCGGAAGGCAGUGGGACUGGA